GAAUCUGUGGGAUUUUGGGGCCUUUUUGGGGUUGUUUAAGGAUUCGAGGGGUUUUGGGGCCAUUUGGGGAUUGUUUUGGGGUGAAUCUGUGGGAUUUUGGGGCCGUUUUGUGUCAUUUGGGGGCCAUUUUGGGGUCAUUUGGGGCCAUUUUGGGAUCCAGGAGAUUUUGGGGCCAUUUUGGGGUCAUUUGGGGCCAUUUCGGGGUCCGAGAGAUUUUGGGGUAAAUUUGUGUCAUUUUGGGGCCAUUUGGGGUCAUUUUGGGAUCCGGGAGAUUUUGGGGUGGAUUUGUGGGAUUUUGGGGCUGUUUUGAGUCAUUUGGGGUCUAUUUUGGGGUCAUUUUGGGGUCAUUUGGGACCAUUUUGGGAUCUGAGAGAUUUUGGGGUGAAUUUGUGGGAUUUUGGGGUCUUUUUGGGGCCAUUCUGGGAUCCAAGAGAUUUUGGGGUGAAUUUAUGGGAUUUUGGGGCUGUUUUGUGUCGUUUUGGGGCCUUUUGGGACCAUUUUGGGACCUGGGGGUUUUGGGGUCAUUUUUGUAUCACUUUGGGAUCAUUUUCGUGUCAUUUUGGGGUGAAUUUGUGGGAUUUUGGGGCCAUUUUGGGACCAUUUUGGGAUCUGAGGGAUUUUGGGGUGAAUUUGUGUCAUUUUGGGGUCAUUUGGGGCCAUUUUGGGAUCCGAGAGAUUUUGGGGUGAAAUUGUGGGAUUUUGGGGCUGUUUUGUGUCGUUUUGGGGUCAUUUUGGGAUCCAGGAGAUUUUGGGGCCAUUUUGGGGUCAUUUGGGGCCAUUUUGGGAUCCGGGAGAUUUUGGGGUGAAUUUGUGGGAUUUUGGGGUCGUUUUGGGGUCCUUUUGUGAUCUGAGGGGUUUUGGGGUGAAUCUGUGGGAUUUUGGGUCCCCCCGCAGGCGCAGCCCGGACCUUCGAAGCCACCAACGGAAGCUCCGCCCCCUCAGGUGCCGUUUUGGGGCUAAAAAAGGCCGUUUUGGGGCCGGAAGUUUUUUGGGGUAAAAAAAGGCGAUUUUAGGGGGGGUUCUGACCUUUGACCUGUGACCUUUGACCCCGCAGCCGCCGCCGGAGGAGCAGAGCAAGGAGCCCAAAAAGGAGAGCGGGGGGAGCAGCAGGUGGGGAUUGGGGGGAAAGUGGGCGAUUUUGGGGAAAAACGGGGCAAAAAAGG
rnacentral:lncRNA from 1 species